rnacentral:rRNA from 1 species
UACGGGGGGAGCAAGCGUUGUUCGGAUUUACUGGGCGUAAAGGGCGCGUAGGCGGGUCUUUAAGUCAGGGGUGAAAUCCUGAAGCUCAACUCCAGAACUGCCUUUGAUACUGAAGAUCUUGAGUUCGGGAGAGGUGAGUGGAACUGCGAGUGUAGAGGUGAAAUUCGUAGAUAUUCGCAAGAACACCAGUGGCGAAGGCGGCUCACUGGCCCGAUACUGACGCUGAGGCACGAAAGCGUGGGGAGCAAACAGG